UGGUGAUGAUGUCCAAUCUCACGAUGGUCUUCAGAGCUCCCCUGGGGGGCUGCUGACAAUGCCAGUGGCAGUGGCUGAACCAGCAGU
rfam:Picoides pubescens contig11577, whole genome shotgun sequence.